UAACAGGGGUGCUGAGCCGCAGAAGGCGGUUCGGCUGAGAACAUACUCUUAUACCUGAUCCGGAUAAUGCCGGCGUAGGGAGCAUAUU
rnacentral:ncRNA from 1 species